AGGGAACCUAAAAUGGAAUUAAUUGGCUUUAUUUAAGUCAGAAAUAGUAUUUAAUAUAGCUGAAUCAACAUAAAUAUUUUAAUUUAUACCACUAAAACUUCUAUAUAUGGCUUAAAUCAGGUAAAAUUUAAUGUAACAAUUGCAGGCUACCAGUUUCUGCAGUAGUUACGCUUUAUGGUUGCUGGUUUGCAGUUGCAUGAAUGUCAGUGACUGCAGCGGGUCAUUUUUAUGGUGGCCAAGAGCUCAACACGCUACGUCUUAAGAAAACACAUGCAAAUAGAAAAAUAAAACAUCUUCAUCAGUUUGACAACACAUGUUCUGCAAAUACUCACAACACGACCAAAUACAGAAACACGCUGCAACAACUCACAACACGACCAACUACAGAAACACGCGGCAAAUACUCACAACACGACCAACUACAGAAACACACUGCACAUACUCACAACACGACCAAAUACAGAAACACGCUGCAACAACUCACAACACGACCAACUACAGAAACACGCGGCAAAUACUCACAACACGACCAACUACAGAAACACACUGCACAUACUCACAACACGACCAAAUACAGAAACACGCUGCAACAACUCACAACACGACCAACUACAGAAACACGCUGCAGAUACUCACAACACGACCAACUACAGAAACACGCUGCAAAGACUCACAACACGACCAACUACAGAAACACGCUGCAGAUACUCACAACACGACCAACUACAGAAACACGCUGCAGAUACUCACAACACGACCAACUACAGAAACACACUGCACAUACUCACAACACGACCAAAUACAGAAACACGCUGCCAAUACGCACAACACGACCAAAUCCAGAAACACGCUGCAAAUACGCACAACACAACCAAAUACAGAAACACGCUGCAAAUACGCACAACUCGACCAAAUACAGAAACACGCUGCAAAUACUCACAACACAACCAACUACAGAAACACGCUGCAAAUACUCACAACACUCACAACACGACUAAAUACAGAAACACGCUGCAAAUACGCACAACAUGACCAACUACAGAAACACGCUGCAAAUACGCACAACACGACCAACUACAGAAACACACUGCAAAUACUCACAACACGACCAACUACAGACACACGCUGCAAAUACUCACAACACGCAGCAAAAAAGCACCGCACGACCAAAUACAGAAACACGCUGCAAACGCUCACAACACAAACAAAUAUAGAAACACGCUGCAAAUACUCACAACACGCUGCAAAAAUUCACAACACGACCAAAUACAGAAACACGCUGCAAAUACUCACAACACGACCAAAUAUAGAAACACGCUGCAAAUACUCACAACACGCUGCAAAUACUCACAACACGACCAAAUACAGAAACACGCUGCAAAUAGCACUGAUGACAAUAGAACCCUUAUGAAAUUUAACCAUAGUUUUACUUCAGAUAAAACCAAGAAACCAUGGUUACUAUAGUUAAACCAUGGUAAUCACAAAUUAACCAUGGUUUUGCUACACUAACCACAGAUCAGCCCAGGGUAUUUGUAGUAAAACUC
ensembl:lncRNA